rnacentral:misc_RNA from 1 species
GAUGAAGAACGCAGCGAAAUGCGAUAAGUAGUGUGAAUUGCAGAAUCCAGUGAAUCAUCGAAUCUUUGAACGCACAUUGCGCCCCUUGGUAUUCCAUGGGGCAUGCCUGUUCGAGCGUCAUUACACCCUCAAGCUCUGCUUGGUGUUGGGCGCCUGUCCCGCCUCGUGCGUGGACUCGCCCUAAAUGUAUUGGCAGCGGUUUGCCAGCCCGUAGCGUAGCACUAUUGCGCCUGCGAGCUUUGGCAGAUUGGCGUCCACUAAGUGACCAUCCACAGUUUGACCUCGGAUCAGGUAGGGAUACCCGCUGAACUUAAGCAUAUCAAUAAGCGGAGGA